CACCUCCCUCACGCUCUCAAAGCAGCGGCCUCAGCUCCUUUCCCCUGACCGCAGCAAACGCUAAAGCACCUUCCCCCGCCCCAACAACUCCCGACUGCAGCUGCAAGCUACCACACAGCUGCAAGCUACCACACAGCCGCCAGGGCCCGCUAAGUCCGUCAUCAGCCGCCCAGUCAUGGCGGGACGGGUGCCUAUGACCCGCGGAUCCCCUCUCCUCACGGAGAAGGACACCACCACCAAGCUACCACCGCAAGAGUUGUUGUGACAACCUGAAGAUGCUUCACAGCAAAAGUUCCCCAUCCUCCUGGAAAAUACUCCCUAUUUCAAAUUACCUGGCUUCAAGGUGGACCUGAGAAUCGUGUAGAACUCUUAAGGAUAUUAUUUCCCACAAGACCGGUGAGUUAAACUGCCUGUCACACCACAUCUGAAAACUAUUCCAUUCCUAAAGAAAUCCUGUGAAGCCCUUUUCCUAAAAGCUGCAAUCCUUUAAAGACUACUUGAAGAUGCAUCUUUUGGAUCACUACUUAUGGAAAAACUGCUGUGCUAUUUUAAGAAUCUUUCAUUUAUUUUUAAUUAAUUUUUGUCCUGCAUCUUUGGGUAAACAUUGGUGACAUUUCUCCAGGAGUGACCAGUACUGUACUGAAGCCCAUAUGCAACUAGCUUUUUUUAUUAAAACUUAAAAUGUGAGCAUCAGGAGCUCAGAAACUGAAAAACUAUAUUUCUCUCAGCUUUUCUAAUUAAUUACAUAAUGGACAGAUUGAAUGAGUAAACUGUCUGUUAUAUGUUUUUGUGAGAUUUCUUUUAGGAACUGUAGGAGAAAAGUUAUAUAGCACACACACACUCGCCCCCCCAAAAAUUGAAGCAAACCACUUAAAGCACUGACAUUCUGAUUUAUAAUUUCUCAGCAGAAGCAAUAGUGACUUGUACUUUAAUGUCUUUCACUGGAGAUAAAUCUGAGGUUGCUUGGCUCAGGCACAACUCUUCCCAGGGAAAAAAAGGCCAAAAGCCAAUUUACAGAAAGACGAGUUGAAUACUAAAACUCAAGAUGACAAGCUGACAGCCACUUGGCAUCUGCUCUCAGAUGGCAGCCAGCUGGCUUCUCACAACAGUAUAUGCACCAGAAACACUGUCAGGAAGAGCUUGCUGUGAAAGUCAAUGCAGUACAAGCAUAGAUGCAACAGCUCCUAUGAAGUUCCUCUUGCAUAAAGUCCACUAGCUUGGUGCAUCACAUCAGCAUUGUCCUAGCCCUUGUGUCUUUCCUCACAAUGCACAUGUCUCUCAAUACCUAUAAGGAGUUA